rnacentral:rRNA from 1 species
ACGCUAUCACUCCUACGGGAGGCAGCAGUGGGGAAUAUUGCACAAUGGGCGCAAGCCUGAUGCAGCCAUGCCGCGUGAAUGAUGAAGGCCUUAGGGUUGUAAAAUUCUUUCGCUAGGGAUGAUAAUGACAGUACCUAGUAAAGAAGCCCCGGCUAACUUCGUGCCAGCAGCCGCGGUAAUACGAAGGGGGCUAGCGUUGUUCGGAAUUACUGGGCGUAAAGCGCACGUAGGCGGGUUAUUAAGUCAGAUGUGAAAUCCCGAGGCUCAACCUCGGAACUGCAUUUGAAACUGGUAACCUAGAGAUCAGGAGAGGUUAGUGGAAUACCGAGUGUAGAGGUGAAAUUCGUAGAUAUUCGGUGGAACACCAGUGGCGAAGGCGACUAACUGGACUGAUACUGACGCUGAGGUGCGAAAGUGUGGGGAGCAAACAGGAUUAGAUACCCUGGUAG